rnacentral:rRNA from 1 species
UACGUAGGUGGCGAGCGUUAUCCGGAAUUAUUGGGCGUAAAGCGCGCGCAGGCGGUUCCUUAAGUCUGAUGUGAAAGCCCACGGCUCAACCGUGGAGGGUCAUUGGAAACUGGGGAACUUGAGUGCAGAAGAGAAGAGCGGAAUUCCACGUGUAGCGGUGAAAUGCGUAGAGAUGUGGAGGAACACCAGUGGCGAAGGCGGCUCUUUGGUCUGUAACUGACGCUGAGGCGACGAAAGCGUGGGGAGCAAACAGG